rnacentral:rRNA from 1 species
GACGAACGCUGGCGGCGUGCUUAACACAUGCAAGUCGAACGGUGAAAGCGGAGCUUGCUCCACUGGAUCAGUGGCGAACGGGUGAGUAACACGUGGGCAACCUGCCCCUCACUUCGGGAUAACUCCGGGAAACCGGGGCUAAUACCGGAUAUGACCUCCUUGGGCAUCCUUGGAGGUGGAGAGUUUUUCGGUGUGGGAUGGGCCCGCGGCCUAUCAGCUUGUUGGUGAGGUAGUGGCUCACCAAGGCGACGACGGGUAGCCGGCCUGAGAGGGCGAACGGCCACACUGGGACUGAGACACGGCCCAGACUCCUACGGGAGGCAGCAGUGGGGAAUAUUGCGCAAUGGGCGAAAGCCUGACGCAGCAACGCCGCGUGCGGGAUGACGGCCUUCGGGUUGUAAACCGCUUUCAGCAGGGAAGAAGCCGCAAGGUGACGGUACCUGCAGAAGAAGCACCGGCUAACUACGUGCCAGCCGCCGCAGUAA